rnacentral:rRNA from 1 species
CGUAGGCGCGAGCGUUGUCCGGAAUUAUUGGGCGUAAGAGCUCGUAGGCGGCUGGUCGCGUCUGUCGUGAAAUCCUCUGGCUUAACUGGGGGCGUUGCGGUGGGUACGGGCCGGCUUGAGUGCGGUAGGGAGGACUGGAACUCCUGGUGUAGCGGUGGAAUGCGCAGAUAUCAGGAAGAACACCGGUGGCGAAGGCGGGUCGUCUGGGCCGUUACUGACGCUGAGGAGCGAAAGCGUGGGGAGCGAACAGGAUU